rnacentral:rRNA from 1 species
UGGGGAAUAUUGCACAAUGGGCGAAAGCCUGAUGCAGCAACGCCGCGUGAGGGACGACGGCCUUCGGGUUGUAAACCUCUUUUAGCAAGGAAGAAGCGAAAGUGACGGUACUUGCAGAAAAAGCGCCGGCUAACUACGUGCCAGCAGCCGCGGUAAUACGUAGGGCGCAAGCGUUAUCCGGAAUUAUUGGGCGUAAAGAGCUCGUAGGCGGUUUGUCGCGUCUGCUGUGAAAACCCGAGGCUCAACCUCGGGCCUGCAGUGGGUACGGGCAGACUAGAGUGCAGUAGGGGGAGAUUGGAACUCCUGGUGUAGCGGUGGAAUGCGCAGAUAUCAGGAAGAACACCGAUGGCGAAGGCAGAUCUCUGGGCCGUAACUGACGCUGAGGAGCAAAAAGGGUGGGGAGCAAAACAGGCUUAGAUACCCUGGUAGUCCACCCCGUAAACGUUGGGAACUAGUUGUGGGGUCCAUUCCACGGAUUCCGUGACGCAGCUAACGCAUUAAGUUCCCCGCCUGGGGAGUACGGCCGCAAGGCUAAAACUCAAAGGAAUUGACGGGGUCAUAGCUGUUUCCU